AUUGAACGCUGGCGGCAUGCCUUACACAUGCAAGUCGAACGGUAACAGGUCUUCGGAUGCUGACGAGUGGCGAACGGGUGAGUAAUACAUCGGAACGUGCCCGAUCGUGGGGGAUAACGAGGCGAAAGCUUUGCUAAUACCGCAUAAGAUCUAUGGAUGAAAGCAGGGGACCGCAAGGCCUUGCGCGAACGGAGCGGCCGAUGGCAGAUUAGGUAGUUGGUGGGGUAAAGGCUUACCAAGCCUACGAUCUGUAGCUGGUCUGAGAGGACGACCAGCCACACUGGGACUGAGAAACGGCCCAGACUCCUACGGGAGGCAGCGGUGGGGAAUUUUGGACAAUGGGCGCAAGCCUGAUCCAGCCAUGCCGCGUGCAGGAUGAAGGCCUUCGGGUUGUAAACUGCUUUUGUACGGAACGAAAAGCCUUCUUCUAAUAAAGGGAGGUCAUGACGGUACCGUAAGAAUAAGCACCUGCUAACUACGUGCCAGCAGCCGCCGUAA
rnacentral:rRNA from 1 species